AGAGUUUGAUCCUGGCUCAGAUUGAACGCUGGCGGCAUGCCUUACACAUGCAAGUCGAACGGUAACGGGCCUUCGGGUGCCGACGAGUGGCGAACGGGUGAGUAAUGUAUCGGAACGUACCUUUCAGUGGGGGAUAACGUAGCGAAAGUUACGCUAAUACCGCAUAUUCUGUGAGCAGGAAAGCAGGGGAUCGCAAGACCUUGCGCUGAUUGAGCGGCCGAUAUCAGAUUAGCUAGUUGGUGAGGUAAAGGCUCACCAAGGCGACGAUCUGUAGCGGGUCUGAGAGGAUGAUCCGCCACACUGGAACUGAGACACGGUCCAGACUCCUACGGGAGGCAGCAGUGGGGAAUUUUGGACAAUGGGGGCAACCCUGAUCCAGCCAUGCCGCGUGAGUGAAGAAGGCCUUCGGGUUGUAAAGCUCUUUCGGCCGGGAAGAAAUCGUAUGGGUUAAUACCCUGUGCGGAUGACGGUACCGGCAUAAGAAGCACCGGCUAACUACGUGCCAGCAGCCGCGGUAAUACGUAGGGUGCGAGCGUUAAUCGGAAUUACUGGGCGUAAAGCGUGCGCAGGCGGUUUUGUAAGACAGGCGUGAAAUCCCCGGGCUCAACCUGGGAACUGCGCUUGUGACUGCAAGGCUAGAGUACGGCAGAGGGGGGGUGGAAUUCCACGUGUAGCAGUGAAAUGCGUAGAGAUGUGGAGGAACACCAAUGGCGAAGGCAGCCCCCUGGGUCGAUACUGACGCUCAUGCACGAAAGCGUGGGUAGCAAACAGGAUUAGAUACCCUGGUAGUCCACGCCCUAAACGAUGUCAACUAGGUGUUGGGUGGGUAAAACCAU
rnacentral:rRNA from 1 species